UGGUCAAGUUAUUAAGGGUGCAGGGCGGAUGCCUUGGCACUAGGAGCCGAUGAAGGACGUGAUAAGCUGCGAUAAGCUUCGGGGAGUUGCACGUAAACUUUGAUCCGAAGAUUUCCGAAUGAGGAAACUCACUUAGAGUAAUGUCUAAGUAUCAUUAAGUGAAUACAUAGCUUAAUGAGGGGAACUCAGGGAACUGAAACAUCUAAGUACCUGAAGGAAGAGAAAGAAAUUCGAUUCCGUAAGUAGCGGCGAGCGAACGCGGAUUAGCCCAAACCAAUAAAGUUUUCUUUAUUGGGGUUGCGGACAUACCACAUAUAAGAGGUCAUUAUAGACGAAGAAGUUUGGAAAAACUCAUCAUAGAAGGUAAUAAUCCUGUAGUCAAAAUAAUAAUUCUUUAGAUAUGAUCCAGAGUACCACGGGACACGUGAAACCCUGUGGGAAGCAGGAGGGACCACCCUCCAAGGCUAAAUACUACCUAGUGACCGAUAGCGUAUAGUACCGUGAGGGAAAGGUGAAAAGAACCCCGGGAGGGGAGUGAAAUAGAACCUGAAACCCUGCACUUACAAGCUGUGGAAGCACAUUUCUUGUGUGACCGCGUACUUUUUGUAGAACGGGCCAACGAGUUACGUUAAGUAGCAAGGUUAAGCACUUAAGGUGCGGAGCCGUAGCGAAAGCGAGUUUUAACUGAGCGUUCAGUUACUUGACGUAGACCCGAAACCGGGCGACCUACCCAUGAGCAGGAUGAAGCGAAAGUAAAAUUUCGUGGAGGUCCGAACCCACGAGCGUUGAAAAGCUCGGGGAUGACUUGUGGGUAGCGGUGAAAUUCCAAUCGAGCCCGGAGAUAGCUGGUUCUCCCCGAAAUAGCUUUAGGGCUAGCCUCAAGGUGAGAGAUACGGAGGUAGAGCACUGAAUGUCCUAGGGGGUA
rnacentral:rRNA from 1 species